rnacentral:pre_miRNA from 13 species
ACCUGUUUGCCACGAGCUAACGCCGCGAUUUAUACAGUUAGAUCGCGGUGUUCGCGAGUGCCAAGCAGGUA